UACGUAGGCGGAAGAUUAAGUCAGUGGUGAAAUCCUGCAGCUUAACUGUAGAACUGUCAUUGAUACUGGUUUUCUUGAAUUUAGUUGAGGUAGGCGGAAUGUGUAAUGUAGCGGUGAAAUGCUUAGAUAUUACACAGAACACCGAUUGCGAAGGCAGCUUACUAAACUAUGAUUGACGCUAAGGUACGAAAGCGUGGGGAGCGAACAGGAUUAGAUACCCUGGUAGUCC
rnacentral:rRNA from 1 species